CUUCAGCUCUGAGGUCAAACCCCUCUCAUCUGAGAGAACUGGAUCUGAGCUUCAACAACCUGCAGGACUCAGGAGUGAAGGAGCUGCUUGAUCUACAGCAGAGUCCAACCUGUCGACUGGAGACUCUGAGGUGGGAGGGGAGACCUUUGUGGAUGGAGGAGGCAUCUUUGUGGAGCUGAGAGUGAAGAGGACAGUGUGUGUGGACGGAGGCUGAGCUGUGUCCUGAGAAUCCAGAGGCUGAAGCAGCUGCAGCUUGUGUGUAGUCUCCAAUCUACACAACCCCUAAUCUGCAUGUGUUUGUGAGAUGAAGCCGGAGCACCUGGAGAAAACACGUGGAGAACAUGCAGACUCCACACAGGAAGACCCAUCUGAACCGGAUUCAAACCAGCAACCUUCUUGCACCGAUUGUGUUCAUUCACAUGAAGAAUGUGUUUAUUAAAAUGACACAACAACAGCAGAAUAUAUAAACACUCUAUAAAGAGUCACAUAUAGUGUAUUUUAGUUUGCCUUUAUUAUUUUCCACCUUUGUCCCUCAGUUUGUCUCCAUGUGUGUAGAACCACAUUCUGUGUAUAUUUUUGUUUAUGAUCUUGAAGUUCCUGGAUUCACGUCACAAAUUGAUUUAGUUCGACACAAAGUUAAACACAUUUAAAUCAAUUUGAGUUAAAAAUUCGAGUUUUGUCUUUGACACAAAAGAUCAAAACUCUGUAAAUAAAAAUGGGAAGUUUUCAUUUCUGCAUCAGGUGCAGAGCAGUGGUUGCUUUUCCACUUUUGACCCACAGGUGGCGCUGUAGUAUAACAGCAGCACAUCCCAGUCAAAGCCUUUAUAUUCAGUCUAUGAGUCAAACACAUGGAUCAUUUCCUCUGUGACAAACCAGAUGUAACGAGAAGAAAAACAUCUCGGAGAGAAAAGUUCUGUUUCUACUUGUCUCUGCUUUAAUGCUCAAUAAACAUCCUUCCACCGAC